ensembl:lncRNA LINC00378 long intergenic non-protein coding RNA 378
GGGCUCCACAAGGACAUGAAUACCAGGUGGCAGGGAUCACUGGGCCAUCUCUCUAAAUCACGAAUGAAACAUUUGCAACCUGUGUCUCCCAAACAUGAUAUGUCUCAAUCAUCAAAGGAUCUACAGUGACUACAAUAACCAAGUGCUACAAAAACGCUGUGACGAGGAAUCUGAACAACAGAGAUUUGAGGGAAACAAAACACUUUCGACGAAGGUCCUGCUGCUUGUCUUCAGCUUGGUACCAAUUAGAGCUUCACUGGAGGUGAAAAGACAUUGACAGAAAGAACAUUAAUAAGAACAGAGAAGCAGAGAAGCCUUGGAAAUCAUGCUUUUAUCUGAAUGGAGGAAGAAAUAAAAGGAGAGGAUGGAGGAGCAGAGGAAACCUUGGUGUCUUCCAACUGGUAAGAAGUAGUUGAAGCUGAGCUGAACAUGUCAUCUGUUCUUAAAUUUAUCAAUUAGGGGAUGGAGUCUCACUAUGCUGCUCAAGGUGGUCUCAAACUCCUCGGCUUAAGUGAUCCCUCUGCCUCAGCUUCCUAAGUGCUGUCAUUACAGUUGUAAGCCACCACACCUAGUCCUCAACUUUGUUUAGUCAUAGCAUUGCCUAUAUCUAUUUUGAAUAUUACUCUUCUAGAAUCUACCAUAUCUGUGACUCUUGGAUAUGGUAAAAUAAACUAUUGUGAAUUAAUCUCC